rnacentral:lncRNA from 1 species
AGGAAGCGAGAGAGGCAAAGCCUUCAGAGACCAUGACUGCUGAGCUGGAAACCCAAGAGGCCCAGAAAGCCAGUGUGCAAUGCUCUGCCCUAAAGAUGGGGCUGUGUGAGAGUGAGGGUGUCGGUAUUCCUGGACGUCGGUGACAAGAGCGUCUGGAAGAUGUAACAGCUUUCCCAAGCUAACCUGUUAUUACUGCCUCUCUGAAGUUGGCGCCGCCGCUCGCCCACCCACUGCCAGUGAGUACUACGCAUGGAGACGGUCUAGGAGCUGGCAGAUCAGAUCAGAUCACUUCAGCAACUCGCACAGCCUCACAGCCUCAGUUUCUCCUCUGGACAAUGCAUACCAAGACAGCUCUGUACAAAAACUCCCGAUGUAAAAUGUCCAGAGUGAAGUAUUGCUUGCAUGGAGGGAGCUCUUGAUUUGCAGCACAGGGCUCAGAACGGCCUCUGGGUGAAGAAGUCGGUUCCCUAGGCCUCAGUGACUAGUUGUCACAAACUCAAAACUACAGGACUCUUAGUUAAAUUGAUAUUUCCUGGGAACAGUUGAGUAGUGUUUUAGGAAGAACUGCUUCUAUACGACCUUCUUGUAUCAAGACAAUAGUCACUGUUUAAUUGAAAUUUAAAAUUUA